UACGAAGGGGGCUAGCGUUGCUCGGAAUCACUGGGCGUAAAGGAUGCGUAGGCGGGUUCUUAAGUCAGGGGUGAAAUCCUGGAGCUCAACUCCAGAACUGCCUUUGAUACUGAGAGUCUUGAGUUCGGGAGAGGUGAGUGGAACUGCGAGUGUAGAGGUGAAAUUCGUAGAUAUUCGCAAGAACACCAGUGGCGAAGGCGGCUCACUGGCCCGAUACUGACGCUGAAGCACGAAAGCGUGGGGAGCAAACAGG
rnacentral:rRNA from 1 species